CAGUGCGGGAGAUAAAAAAGAGAUGACUCAUCAUGCUUGCAUGAAUGUGUCAUCUCUUUUUUUAUCUCACAUAGGGCGCAGCCCGUGAGCGGGAUGGAGCGCGAAGCGCGGAAUCCCGCUGCCGCACUG
rnacentral:sRNA from 1 species